GUGGAGAGUUUGAUCCUGGCUCAGGACGAACGCUGGCGGCGUGCUUAACACAUGCAAGUCGAACGGAAAGGCCCUGCUUUUGUGGGGUGCUCGAGUGGCGAACGGGUGAGUAACACGUGGGUGAUCUGCCCUGCACUUCGGGAUAAGCCUGGGAAACUGGGUCUAAUACCGGAUAGGAGCCAUUUUUAGUGUGAUGGUUGGAAAGUUUUUUCGGUGUAGGAUGAGCUCGCGGCCUAUCAGCUUGUUGGUGGGGUAGUGGCCUACCAAGGCGACGACGGGUAGCCGGCCUGAGAGG
rnacentral:rRNA from 1 species